UAACACGUGGGGAACCUGCCCCAUAGUCUGGGAUACCACUUGGAAACAGGUGCUAAUACCGGAUAAGAAAGCGGAUCGCAUGAUAAGCUUUUAAAAGGCGGCGUAAGCUGUCGCUAUGGGAUGGCCCCGCGGUGCAUUAGCUAGUUGGUAAGGUAAAGGCUUACCAAGGCGAUGAUGCAUAGCCGAGUUGAGAGACUGAUCGGCCACAUUGGGACUGAGACACGGCCCAAACUCCUACGGGAGGCAGCAGCC
rnacentral:rRNA from 1 species